GACGAACGCUGGCGGCGUGCUUAACACAUGCAAGUCGAACGGAAAGGCCUCUUUCGGGGGGUACUCGAGUGGCGAACGGGUGAGUAACACGUGAGUAACCUGCCCUUGACUUUGGGAUAACUUCUGGAAACUGGGGCUAAUACCGGAUAGGAGCUCCUGCUGCAUGGUGGGGGUUGGAGAGUUUCGGCGGUUGGGGGUGGGCUCGCGGCGUAUCAGCUUGUUGGUGGGGUAGUGGCUUACCAAGGCUUUGACGGGUAGCCGGCCUGAGAGGGUGACCGGCCACCUUGGGACUGAGAGACGGCCCAGACGCCUACGGGAGGCAGCAGGGGGGAAUAUUGCACAAUGGGUGGAAGCCUGGUGCAGCAACGCCGUGUGCGGGAAGACGGCCUUCUGGUUGUAAACCGCCUUCGCUCAUGACGAAGCUUUGUGUGACGGUAGUGGGUAAAGAAGCACCGGCUAACUACGUG
rnacentral:rRNA from 1 species